rnacentral:rRNA from 1 species
AUUGAACGCUGGCGGCAGGCCUAACACAUGCAAGUCGAGCGGAGCGGCGGACGGGUGCGUAAUGCCUAGGAAUCUGCCUGGUAGUGGGGGAUAACGUAAGGAAACGGGCGCUAAUGCCGCCUACUCUCAGAUGAGACUAGGUCGGAUUAGCUAGUUGGUGGGGUAAAGGCCUACCAAGGCGCAGAUCCGUAACGGGUCUGAGAGGAUGAUCAGUAACACUGGAACUGAGACACGGUCCAGACUCCUACGGGAGGCAGCAGUGGGGAAUAUUGGACAAUGGGCGAAAUCCUGAUCCAGCCAUGCCGCGUGUGUGAAGAAGGUCUUCGGAUUGUAAAGCACUUUAAGUUGGGAGGCGUUACCAACAGAAUAAGCACCGGCUAACUUCGUGCCAGCAGCCGCGGUAAUUC